AUUUAUAACAAAAAGCAUCAAAAGGUUAUCUGCAGGCAAAACUGUUGUACACAGAUAAUAAUUCAUAUGGCAGUAAAACACCAGACAAUAAUCUCAAAUUCUGUUCCACCACAAAAAAACAUGCUGACAUAUUUUAUCCUUUCAUCAAUACAACACUUCCAUCUCUUUGCAUCUCCCUUGUGAAGACACAGACAUAUAGCUUCUGCACUCAAGAUAAACUUAAGUUUCUUACCCCACCUGAUAGUUAUGUCCUGUGAAACCAACUUUUUAACCUUCGCAAUGCCUCCUGAAAUAUUGGCUCUUGGAAUAUUUUUGAAAUAAAGGUUAUUGGUAGUAAAUGUGGGGUCCUCCUAAAUAGAUUGCAGCAGUCCCCAGUUUCUUAGAAACAGUGCAGUGUCCGACAGGAUAAAAGAAAGAAUCUUUGAAUUGUUUUGUUCAGGAGAAGGAGGGGGAAGGGGCGGGAGUUUCAACCGUUUUUUAACCUCCUUUGCUGCCUG